AAAUGUUCAUUCGAGCUGUUUGGAUAGAAAAUGCAGAGAAAUAAAGAGAGAAAAUUCGAUUGAUAAUUUUUUGUGCUGGCCAUCGUCAUUAAAUGUAAUAAAUUGUUUCAAUGAAAUGCAUAAAUUGCAUCUAACUUAUACAGAUUUACGCUGCUCAAAAUUAAAUGUCAUGGAGAUAAUAUCAUGAGUUAUGUGAUAAAUUUGAAUUUGCUACUACUAGUGAUACUCAGAUAAAAUCAGAUUCAGAAAAACGCCACUACCAUGCUUAUGCAAGAGAAAACAUAAUAACCAACUGAAGAGUCAGCAAGUACCUACUCCUGUAACACAAAAAAAAGAAACAGAAAACAUAAUUUAUGCAUACUCCACAUACUGUAGCUCAAGGUUAACAAACUUUCUAAAAUUGGAGGUAAAACCAUUAAGACAAAUACAAAAAAAUGUGAUUC